GGUAAACCUGAGAAACCUGAAAGGUCGAACGGGGAGAUUCAUCRUGUCUCAUUGUUGGCAUGGGGUCGUCGUGCGACGGAAGACGUGCGCGUCUAUCCGCUCCUUUGAUCUCAUGGUUACCGACUUUGAAUGCGUGCACUUCUCCCCUAGUAGGACGUCGCGAUCCGAUUGGGUGCCGGSUUAAGGCCCACACAAGGAGCCCGUGCAUGAGURGUUACCAUGCUGUUUGUGUGCGGACUUGUGGUGUCCCGGCCGGCUUGCUCGACGGUGUACAGAUSGCKCAAGGCCGCGAUUCAAUUCGCGUCUGACCCGUCGCAAGCGCGCUGUGCGUAUUGGUGUAUCGGACAUUAGUGCCGGUCCCGGUCCACAGUGGCUGUUCGCUUCGGUGUUCUCGGACAGACCUUGUAUUGAAACGCCUAUCUGCGACGCUAUUGCUUUGGGUACUUUCAGGACCCGUCUUGAAACACGGACCAAGGAGUCUAGCAUGUGCGCAAGUCAUUGGGMUUUGAAAUAAACCUAAAGGCGAAAUGAAAGUAAAGAUCUGCCUUGUGUAGAUCUAGGGAAGAUG
rnacentral:rRNA from 1 species